rnacentral:rRNA from 1 species
UGGGGAAUUUUGGACAAUGGGGGAAACCCGUGAUCCAGCCAUCCCGCGUGUGCGAUGAAGGCCUUCGGGUUGUAAAGCACUUUUGGCAGGAAAGAAACGUCGCGGGUUAAUACCCCGCGAACAUGACGGUACCUGCAGAAUAAGCACCGGCUAACUACGUGCCAGCAGCCGCGGUAAUACGUAGGGUGCAAGCGUUAAUCGGAAUUACUGGGCGUAAAGCGCACGCAGGCGGUUUGUUAAGUCAGAUGUGAAAUCCCCGGGCUCAACCUGGGAACUGCAUUUGAAACUGGCAAGCUAGAGUCUCGUAGAGGGGGGUAGAAUUCCAGGUGGUAGCGGUGAAAUGCGUAGAGAUCUGGAGGAAUACCGGUGGCGAAGGCAGCCUCCUGGGAUAACACUGACGCUCAUGCACGAAAGCGUGGGGAGCAAACAGGAUUAGAUACCCUGGUAGUCCACGCCCUAAACGAUGUCAACUAGCUGUUGGGGGCCUUCGGGCCUUGGUAGCGCAGCUAACGCGUGAAGUUGACCGCCUGGGGAGUACGGUCGCAAGNUUAAAACUCAAAUGAUUGACGGGGUCAUAGCUGUUUCCUG